UCUCCGUAGGUGAACCUGCGGAAGGAUCAUUAAAGAAUACAGGCUUCACGGCCGCUAUUCUCACCCUUUGCAUACAAAAACUUGUUGCUUUGGCAGGCCUCCGGCACCCGCUGGGCUGCGCCUGCCAGAGGAUUUAAACCCUAGAAUUAUUGCUGUCUGAGUACUAUCUAAUAGUUAAAACUUUCAACAACGGAUCUCUUGGUUUUGGCAUCGAUGAAGAACGCAGC
rnacentral:misc_RNA from 1 species